GGUAACCCAUGCCUACCAUGCCACCAGAAAGGGGGGACCUCCAAGAACACCAGAGUCCGCCAGAGCCAGCGUAUUGGGCAAGAGACAGCACCACCGAGAGCCCAAAUGGCCCAAAACCUGCUGCGGCAGGCAAAACCGUUGGAAGCCAGCGGAAAGGACACAGGGGGCCAGAUUGCACAAGCCAGUGGUAAAGGAGGCCCAGCAGGAACCCCCAUACAGUCCCAAGGGCAACCCCAAUAGGCAAAGCCCAGCGUACCCAAGAGAGACCACGGGUAGCGCAGACAAAACCCACAACGCCCCUCCAAACCACCGACGCCUCCUGCCUGACGCCCCAAAACCGCAGCCAGGGGCACCGACGUUCCCCUUACAGGAAUUGAUCCCACUAUCCAGGAGACAGGAGCACACAUCCCGACCCACGGAGAAG